rnacentral:rRNA from 1 species
CAACUUUCAGCAAUGGAUCUCUUGGCUCUCGCAUCGAUGAAGAACGCAGCGAAACGCGAUAUGUAAUGUGAAUUGCAGAUCUACAGUGAAUCAUCGAAUCUUUGAACGCACCUUGCGCUCCUUGGUAUUCCGAGGAGCAUGCCUGUUUGAGUGUCAG